GAAGAUCGAUCUCAUGUUACCAUAAAAAAAGUAGUAAUUUCAACACAUUAGGCAUAAAAUAUAAUAAAACAGUCAUCAUCAUCAACAAUUCAACAACAUUACAUGAAUUCAAGUACAAUAGCAUAACCAUUGUAUGUCCAAUCACAGGCAUCAUCACAACACACACGGGUAGCAAUGGAAACUCCUAUAGAUCAUCGUCUUCGGACACAUCAUCUACACCAUUGCCAUUGUCGUUAGUGUCACUACAAUACUGCAAGACAGUGUCAUCUUCAUCCCCACUAUCUACAAAAAUGUUAACUUGCUUCUUGUUUCUUAGAAGGUCUGCUAAAUUAGCUUCAAUGAUUGUAUCUUUUCCAUCCUACUCUUCCUAUGCAUAUUAGCAUCACCAUCACCAUCAC
rnacentral:lncRNA from 1 species